rnacentral:sRNA from 1 species
CAUAUAGAAUGGUCAUACCCACUUUGGAAAUGAUAACUUUGGUCCUCAAGAAAAAACUCAUCAACCUAAAGCAUUACCUGCCAUCAAUGGUGUGACAUGCUAUGCAAAUCCUGCUGUCACAGAAGCUAAUGGACAUAUCCAUUUUGAUAAUGUCAGUGUGGUAUCUCUACAGCGUUCAGAAGAGUUUUCUGAGAGGUGGGGAAGUCUCCUUGCGAAUUACCUUCAGAUCCUAUUACAGAGAAGGAUCCCCA